GCCAGACUCCUACGGGAGGCAGCAGUGGGGAAUAUUGCACAAUGGGGGAAACCCUGAUGCAGCGACGCCGCGUGAGCGAUGAAGUAUUUCGGUAUGUAAAGCUCUAUCAGCAGGGAAGAAGAUGACGGUACCUGACUAAGAAGCCCCGGCUAACUACGUGCCAGCAGCCGCGGUAAUACGUAGGGGGCAAGCGUUAUCCGGAUUUACUGGGUGUAAAGGGAGCGUAGACGGUGAUGCAAGUCAGAAGUGAAAGCCCGGGGCUCAACUCCGGGACUGCUUUUGAAACUGUGUGACUGGAGUGCAGGAGAGGUAAGCGGAAUUCCUGGUGUAGCGGUGAAAUGCGUAGAUAUCAGGAGGAACACCAGUGGCGAAGGCGGCUUACUGGACUGUAACUGACGUUGAGGCUCGAAAGCGUGGGGAGCAAACAGGAUUAGAUACCCCCGUAA
rnacentral:rRNA from 1 species